rnacentral:lncRNA from 1 species
ACAGCUCCAAGAUCUUUGCAAGUUGCAGUGAUCUCCGGAUCAAUGGUUUCCAUGACGGCAUCAUUAGCAGCCUUUGACAGAAUCUGUUAAGAAUGUGAUAUCAAUAUAGUUUUUAAACUACUUCAAACCCGAAAUAUAGAUGGAUAUAAAAACUUACCAGAUGAUGAAGACUGGAUUCAUUGUCUACAGGUUUCCUUCCAGUUAGUAACUCAAGUAGAACAAUCCCAUAGCUGUAAACAUCAGAUUUCUCAGUCAAGCGAGAAGUGCGAGCAUAUUCAGGGUCUAUAUAACCAAUGGUGCCCAUUACGUAUGUAGAAGUGUGAGACUUUGAUAUGCAUAAGCUUUUAGCAAUGCCAAAAUCAGUAAGAUGAGCCUCUAAAUCCUUGUCCAACAAAAUAUUUGAUGACUUCACAUCCCUGUGGAUGAUUCGUGGACUACAGUCAUGAUGUAAAUACGCUAACCCUUGUGCAGCUCCCAGUGCAAUCUUCAAUCGAAUGGUCCAACUGAGAACUUUCUUCUUGGUAGAAACUGCAAGAAAAGAACAAACUUGUAAUUCAUGACGCGUAAAUGAGCAUAGAGAGAAGCUAAAGAAACACCAAAACAUAUUCUAACACAUGGAACUGGUUUGUUCUUAGAAACAAACUUACCAUGGAGGAGAUCCCAGAGACUGCCAUUUUCCAUAUAGUCAUAGAAGAGAAGGUUCCGAGACGGGGAGAGAGAAUACCCUUGAAGGCUGACCAGAUUUCGGUGCUUAAUACUCCCAAUUGUCUCGAGUUCCGUCUCGAAUUCCUUCAAGCAUUGUGGAUAGUGAGAGUAGAGCCUCUUGAUGGCAACUGGCCUACAAUUCUUAAGAACACAUUUGUAGACCGUGCUUGAUGCACCACUACCAAUUAUAUACUUCUCACUCAGAUUCUCAGUCACCCUCAUAAUGUCCUCGUAUACAUGAAGUGCCAUAUUCAUGUGAAGGAUCACCAAUUUCGGUCUUGAGUAAGUAACUGCCGUCAAGAAGUCCAUGAAUCAAUAACAAGGGCCAUAAAUUUCAAUAAGGUAUCUUUAAGAAAAAGGAACAAAAACUGACUAACAGUUCGCAAUAGGUAUUUUUAUGUACUAUGUACUCCAAAUCAAGAGGACUUCAUAGGUUUACACAUAAAAGGAGAAGGCAGGGCACCUGGCUUAUCCAGUGAUCCAUCUGGAAAAGGUGUAGGAUUGUGCGGGCGACAUGCGGCAAUCAAGAUCAUUAGAAGAAUCACAAGAGCACCAAGUGCAAUGCCGAGGAUUGCAGCUUUAGAGAUUGAAACUGCAUAGACAAGUGAGCAAAACAAAAUGAAUAAUCAACCAAAGACAACCAACAGAUUAAACAUACCAAGAAAACAUUGACCAACUACAAUAGGGAAUGGUAGUUGCCAAGAACUCCAUGUGUAGGUGCCAAAACAAACGAUGAGGUGGUAGCUCAUCGUUUUGAUAUCCGUUUUCUAGUCCUAAUGCCUUUUCAGUUUCUAACUUU